UCCCAUCGCAGUGAGCACAACCCGAACUAUUCUUUCGCGUUUUAAUAAAGAAUACCGUGUGUUUGCCGCAAAUAGUGGCAUACGCCUAUUUUUGAAGGGGUUCUCUUUUUGAGUUCU